GACGAACGCUGGCGGCGUGCUUAACACAUGCAAGUCGAACGGAAAGGCCCUGCUUUUGUGGGGUGCUCGAGUGGCGAACGGGUGAGUAACACGUGAGUAACCUGCCCUUGACUUUGGGAUAACUUCAGGAAACUGGGGCUAAUACCGGAUAGGAGCUCCUGCUGCAUGGUGGGGGUUGGAAAGUUUCGGCGGUUGGGGAUGGACUCGCGGCUUAUCAGCUUGUUGGUGGGGUAGUGGCUUACCAAGGCUUUGACGGGUAGCCGGCCUGAGAGGGUGACCGGCCACAUUGAGACUGAGAUACGGCCCAGACUCCUACGGGAGGCAGCAGUGGGGAAUAUUGCACAAUGGGCGGAAGCCUGAGGCAGCAACGCCGCGUGCGGGAUGACGGCCUUCGGGUUGUAAACCGCUUUCGCCUGUGACGAAGCGUGAGUGACGGUAAUGGGUAAAGAAGCACCGGCUAACUACGU
rnacentral:rRNA from 1 species